CUGGCGACCGGCAAACGGGUGCGGAACACGUACACAACCUUCCUUUAAGUGGGGAAUAGCCCGGGGAAACCCGGAUUAAUACCCCGUAACAUAAUGAAGUGGCAUCACUUUAUUAUUAUAGCUCCGGCGCUUUAAGAUGGGUGUGCGACUGAUUAGGCAGUUGGCGGGGUAACGGCCCACCAAACCUACGAUCAGUAACUGGUGUGAGAGCACGACCAGUCACACGGGCACUGAGACACGGGCCCG
rnacentral:rRNA from 1 species